ensembl:lncRNA LINC01777 long intergenic non-protein coding RNA 1777
GCCAUUAUGCCUCUUACUGGGCAUGCUUGAGCCCACGGGCCCAACUCCUGAGAUCCCAUUCGGAAGCUGCUGAUCACCAGUUUCAAGUGUUUCUGUUUAUUGGGAGACUGCCUUCCUCUGGCACUGGCAGUGACCAAUUAUUAUUUUAGAGAGACUGUUAACGGCCUGACCAUCACCUGAUGAAUAUCAGGAAUGUGGCCUGACAUUCCUGGUACACGGAGCGCCUUCUUUUCGUUUAGAGCAUUGGUGUCUCCACAUUAGAAGCAUCCUAUGUAGCUGUUCUGCUUGCAGCUGCCCAAGUCUGCCUGGGCCUCCUGCAUGAGGUCAUGAGUCUUAAUAAAGCCACUGACCCACACAUUUGGAAUCGUACUGACUUUUCACAACUAACAGCCAACACAUUGCCAAGAAGCAAUUCAAUUGUUGAGGAUAUCACAUCAUGCCAGGGAAAGAGAGAUGGAAUUCAGAAAGCCUGGGAUAUUGCAGGGCAUUAGUUCUCGGCGAGAUAUAUGGGGUUGGAGAGGACAGGAGCCAGAAGCUCCCAGUGCAGCAGCAAGGCUGGCCCACGUGAGCACCUGGAGCAUCAUUUCUGCUGCCACAUGCUUGGGCUGCCCCACCCCGCCGUGCCCUGCUCAGCCGUGCCCUGCUCCAUCUCCCUCGCCAGGCCUGAGACCGGCCCCCAGUGUGUUGUGACUCCUGAGGUCUCUCAGCUCUCCCUCAACCCCCAGGAGAAUUGCUCUCCACUCCAGAAGCCGCCUGAUGGGGAGGCUGACCCCUCUCCAGGACUGACUGAUCCAGGUUUAUCCUGACAGUAACCUCUCCCCAGGUCGGAAGACCUCUCAGGCUCUGUUUCUAGGGAGGCUGACCUGCUGACAAUGCUCCUAGCUGGAUUUUGUAAGCGGUCUUGAAUAAAGUCUUCCUCACUGUUUUAACAAGAGACAAGGUAAUGUUCAUUGAACAUCUUAUACAAAGAGGAAACCUGGCACAGAAGUGGACAUGCACUCGGAGGGAAAAUGCCAAGUGACAAUGAAGGCAGAGAUCAGGUGAUGCAUCUGCAAGCUGAGCAACAUCAGGAAUUGCCAAAAACCACCAGGAGCUGGAGAGGCCUGGGACAGAGCCUCCCACGGAGCCUCAAGGGAGCCAGCCCUGCCCACGCCUUGAUCUUUGACGUCCGACCUCAAGAACUAUGAAAGAACCCAUUUCUGUUGGUGAAGGCUCCCCGUCUGUGGUCCCCUGUCCUGGCAGCCCUAGGAACCUGACCUCUGGUCCCUCUGCAUCCCUGGCAUCACUCUGCCUCCCUCUCUUUUUCUCCAGUGAAUCCAACACACUCUCAGUGAGACAGCCAGGUGGCAAGGGGUUCUCGGAGAAACUCCAGCCGGCCUGCUCGCUGGGCAUGUACACUGGAGUGGAGCCACAGAAGUUCACGGUGUUUGCAGCAGGGAGGAGCCUGGCCACUCCUCUUCCUGGUUGGAACCUGGAAUUUAUUUUGUGAGGCGGGAAGCCUAUACUGGGGAGACUCUUGCUCUGCUGAGUCCCCAUUCCCCCUUUAUUUUCCUUUUUGCCCAAUAAAUCCUAUUAUUCUCAGUCUUCAAA